ensembl:lncRNA
GAAAACAAUUCUUCAACUCAUGCUGCUUUAACUUCCCCUUGUAUCUUGCAGAUAUGCUCUGCUAGAGCUGGAGAGGCGAGUCAUCUUCCCCUGCCUGGUUCCUUCCCCAACGAUCUCUGCAACAUUGACUCAGUGUUAUCAUAUAGAGGGAAAGGGGGCACCUGAACAGACAUUACCUUCAGCAACAAGUGCCCAUGAAGGAGCACCCCCAGACCAACAGCAAGCCUGUACUGUUAAGCGGACAGCUUCCCUGUCUCAGGACCACAUAUCAGCAGCUAAGCAAAAUCAUCGUUAAAGCUCAUUUUUGAACCAGAAGAAGUGGCACCAGAGGUAAGAUCAAAGCCACCAAAACUCCACAAAUCCUGCAAUACAGCUGAUGCACCCAAUGCAAUACACAGCUGCACCUCCCCCCUAUUCCUUGAGCAGAUCAGAAGGUGAGAGUUGAGCAUCAUUCAGCAUGAUGUCGCUCUGUGUUAAAGCCAGGGCAUAACCUGUAAUGACAGUAAGGGAGCUAUUAUUAUUACAAGAGUCCUUACAAGAACUUCCCUGUUGACUGCACCACUGGUAAAACAAAUCUGAGCAUAGCUCUGUAUUUUCAAAUUCAUAUUAGAACGUGAUUUGCCAAACACCAGGAACUCCCACUUAGAUUUUGAAGAUUAUUUGAUGUGAAACAUAUUCCUCUUCAAAAUUUAAACAAGUCUUUGAAAAAGGAAAUUUAUUUUGACCAUUGUCAUAUUGACAUGUCAAUAUUCUUAUAGCAUCUCAGUGUCCUUAGAUACUAUUGCAUAUACCAAUUAUUAUAUAUUAUA